rnacentral:rRNA from 1 species
UACAGAGGGUGCAAGCGUUAAUCGGAAUUACUGGGCGUAAAGCGUGCGUAGGUGGUCUGUUAAGUCAGGUGUGAAAUCCUUGGGCUUAACCUGAGAAUUGCAUUUGAAACCAGCAGACUAGAGUGUGGUAGAGGGUAGUGGAACUCCCGGUGUAGCGGUGAAAUGCGUAGAUAUCGGGAAGAACACCAGUGGCGAAAGCGGCUACCUGGACCAACACUGACACUGAGGUACGAAAGCGUGGGGAGCAAACAGG